rnacentral:rRNA from 1 species
GGCGAACGGGUGAGUAACACGUGGGUAAUCUGCCCUGCACUCUGGGAUAAGCCUGGGAAACUGGGUCUAAUACUGGAUAUGACCUUUCUCCUUAUGGGGUUUGGUGGAAAGUUUUUCGGUGUAGGAUGAGCCCGCGGCCUAUCAGCUUGUUGGUGGGGUGAUGGCCUACCAAGGCGACGACGGGUAGCCGGCCUGAGAGAGUGAUCGGCCACAUUGGGACUGAGAUACGGCCCAG